CAACUACAUGUAAUGUAAUACCAGCUAAAUGAUGUGCUAUGAUGAGAUCAGUGAACAAUACGUGCAAGCAAUGGAAAAUAACUUGUACCAAUUUUUUUAUUUAAUUUUAAAUAUUGGGAUUAAUUAAAUCCAAAACAAGCUAAUACUACUGGUACAUGUAAAAUGGCAAAGCAAGGGUCAAACACACUAGUCAAAUUCUCCAAUCAAUUUAAGUGGGGAACAAUGGAAGUCAAUUUGGUCACUAGUGUCAAUUCGAUUAAUGGUUUCGAUCAAGUGGGGUUUAAGGCUAAAAUUAUCACGAUAACAGCAGCACAAGAUUUUAAUUGAUGCAAUUUUAAAAAUGAAGCAGUAGUAUAAACCAAUACUAAAUAGAGAUCAAGGACUCCCUGUUGAUUAGUUUUGGUUAUUUGUAUGCCGAUUGAUCUAAAUUGCCGACUUAUGAGCCCCAACUAUUGCUUCUGUUCUUCCCAUCGUAUCCAAUGGUUUUAGCCCCUGUAGACUGUAACUUGUGCUGGUUCUGGUGUGGACGUAAAACUGUGUGUAGUGACUGUGGCUUUUAGAUUGUUGAGAUGGACGAGGAAAUAUAUGAGUGUGGUAAUUGUGGUGGAAGUGUAUGAUCUUGGGUUGGUGGUGGUGGCCUAUGGCGAUGAAGCGGUAGUGCUCUGGAUGCCUGGGUACAAUAGAUAAUGAAGUGGUGGCGUGAUGGUGAUUAGAGGCAGCAGCGGCAGCGGCAAGAGAGUGGUUAUGAGAGAGAAAUCGGGUGAAACUGUGGGGUAUUUGAUGUUAAUGGAUUGGUUUUAAUCGGGCUUGGUUGGAUAUUUGGGACUGAUCAUGGGUUGAAUGGUGUUGGGCCGAUUGUGAUAAUAUGUGAUAAGUGGGUUGGAUUUAGUGCUUAUUGGGCUGAAAAGCAAGUGGAUUGGCUAAAUAGAUGAUGAGAGAUGGG
rnacentral:lncRNA from 1 species